GACAGAGGGUGCAAACGUUGUUCGGAAUUACUGGGCGUAAAGCGCGUGUAGGCUGCUCUGCAAGUCGGGUGUGAAAGCCCCGGGCUCAACCUGGGAAGUGCACUCGAAACUGCAGAGCUUGAGUUCUGGAGAGGAAGGCGGAAUUCUCGGUGUAGAGGUGAAAUUCGUAGAUAUCGAGAGGAACACCGGUGGCGAAGGCGGCCUUCUGGACAGUGACUGACGCUGAGACGCGAAAGCGUGGGGAGCAAACAGG
rnacentral:rRNA from 1 species